UGGGGAAUUUUGGACAAUGGGGGAAACCCUGAUCCAGCCAUCCCGCGUGUGCGAUGAAGGCUUCGGGUUGUAAAGCACUUUUGGCAGGAAAGAAACGUCAUGGGUUAAUACCCCGUGAAACUGACGGUACCUGCAGAAUAAGCACCGGCUAACUACGUGCCAGCAGCCGCGGUAAUACGUAGGGUGCAAGCGUUAAUCGGAAUUACUGGGCGUAAAGCGUGCGCAGGCGGUUCGGAAAGAAAGAUGUGAAAUCCCAGAGCUCAACUUUGGAACUGCAUUUUUAACUACCGGGCUAGAGUGUGUCAGAGGGGGGUGGAAUUCCGCGUGUAGCAGUGAAAUGCGUAGAUAUGCGGAGGAACACCGAUGGCGAAGGCAGCCUCCUGGGAUAACACUGACGCUCAUGCACGAAAGCGUGGGGAGCAAACAGG
rnacentral:rRNA from 1 species